rnacentral:tRNA from 1 species
GCGCGAAUGGUGAAAUUGGCAGAGACACGCUAGAUUUAUACUCUAGUGCUUUAAACAGCAUGAGGGUUCGAGUCCCUCUUCGCGCACCA